rnacentral:lncRNA from 1 species
UGAAAACACUGGGGAACCCACCUGGCAGUAUGGUCAUCAACUAAGACAUUCAAGUUUAUAUUUAUGAGUUUACAGAUAGUAAAUUAAGCAUCAAAUACAGAGUCCUAUAGGAUAAACUCCUCUUAAAAAAUUACAAAUUACACAAAUGGAAAAAUUGUUCUUAAUUUUAAGUCAUAAAGUAAAUUGGAAAAAAAAAGAAAGUUCUCAACUGAUUCAAAAAAACAAAAACAAAACAAACAAACAAACAAAAAAAAAACCUAGAGAUUGGCAUUUCACUUUAGUUGUGAUGAAGGCCAGCCUGGCUAUAUUUACCAUCAGGAGCCAGUGUGAAAGGCAACAGUCUAAGACAAUAGCACUAACAAAAACAAAAUGGCAGUCUCCAGGCCUCAUUCAGUGCAUCCAGGAUGUCAGCCUUUCACCAGGUCCCAGGUCCGGAAAGCCAAAUUAUUAGUAAUGGAUUGUAAAACGGCCUUUCAUGUUUGAUUUCUGCUAGGGUGGGGAUGGGACAAAACCAAAAUGAAAAUAAACAGAACGCAAGGAACCCACAAGUGGGUUUUGUGUGUUCAGGGAAA